GGGGUUUAAGAAUUUCUCUAAGACUGCAAGAGAACUUGUGCACCGGAUGCAGAAGAUUGAUAGCGACUAUUAUCCCGAGACACUCCACCAAAUGUUUGUUGUGAACGCUGGCAGUGGAUUUAAGUGGAUCUGGAACAGCGUGAAGGGCUUCCUUGACCCAAAAACUUCAUCCAAGAUUCAUGUGCUUGGUUCGAACUACCAGAGCAUGCUUCUUGAAGUAAUAGAUUCGAGUGAGCUGCCAGAAUUCCUUGGCGGUUCAUUGCCCUGAAAUUGUGCCGCUGGAGAGGAAGGAUGAAGGUGAAGUAGCUUGCCCCGCCGACGGAUAGGAACUGCUAUUGC